GGCCAUGGCAUCAAUGCAGUGUUGACCAUGGACGUGGUGCGCAUGCGGCAGGAGGAUCACACGGCCAGGGUAGCCGACCUGCUGCCUCUUCCAUGGCCGAGGGAAGCUGCUUUUCUCUCUGCUCCACUUUGUAUUAGAUCGAUGUCCAAAAUUUUUGGAGAGCUCUUCUUGUGUUGUGCAUCAUCAUCUAGGAUUAUUUUCUCCCCUUUUGAGUUGUCCCUGUACACCUAUUUACAGAUUUGUGGUGUACCCUGGUUUGAACCAAGAUUGUUUUUUUUUGGGUAUAGAGGUCACCAUGUUGCAUUGGCAAACAGGUUGGGGAUUUGAUCAUUGCAGCAAGUGCGAGAAGGCUGAGUUCAUCAGCCUGGUAUGGCGCUACCUCUGCGGGAGGCAAAGCAUAUGGAGUGUUGUAAGAUCCAUACCGCACCGAUGAGAUGGUGAUUCUAGACGAAUCCUCUAACUGGUUGAUUAGGUCACACAUACAGGUCCAAGUUGUGGACAUUGUAGUGUUUGGUGGAACUGGCUGCAAAAAUGUGUCCCCAAAUAUUUUUUGUGGGCUGCAAUGUGUUUGUCAUGUCGAGGGUGUGGAGCUGGUGGUUGGUGGAACGCCUUGCUGGAUUGAGGUAUAUGCUGAUGAGAUUGGGCCAGGGAGAUGCUAUCAGGAAGGUGUCUAUUUCUUAGAUGAUCUGGCUUAUAAAAUUAUGUUACUGAAGAACUGUGAAGAUGCACCCUAUGUUGGCUUAUUUGGUUUGCCUCGGAUAAAAAAGCACCAGAGUCACCUUUGAGAGCUGCAGCAGCCGUCCACAGAUGACACUUAUUUCCGAAAACAGGUUUCUUACGAGGAAAAAAGGGGGACCCAGUGGUGAAAGCUUGCACACAUUGGGGUUUAGGGAAGCGAAUUUUUAGCAUCCUUUCCCUUCUUUUUUAUGCAAAGAGGCUGAUUCAAGCCAAGGACCUCGAGCACACAAGCGGAGAUACUCUACCACUGAUUCGAACUAAGGAGAACUAAUAAUUAACAUGUGCUCUUCUUCGACGCCUAAUCAAAUGUCUAUGAGUUAUGUUUGCUUCUGUUGAGGUCAUCUUGAGGUUGUAGGCAUGAGGAUAUUCUUCAAUGCAUGGAAAUUAUAAUGUGGGGGACCUCAAAGAAUGUUUCUCAAGGUAAUCCCAAUACUGACAUGUUUGCGCGAAGGGCUUUUCUAAUCCUGCUCGAUGGUCGAGAUCCCAUAGAGUAGAAUCAAGGUACAGAACAACCAUGCCAACAUAAUUUUCCCUAGAUAUUUAAUGGUCAAAAUUUCAAAAGGCUUGAACUUGAAUCUGUAGUUCACCUAUGUUUUGAAACAGAGGGAGUAAAUCAGUGAGAUUGGACAUAUUAAAAGUUUGUCUUGGUCUCUAGAGUUCCUUGUUCUGCGUAGUUGGUACCUUUGCUUGGGUGAUGCAUACAGAAACUCUUAAUCUAUUUUAUAGUCUAGCCUUUUGGAUUCAGCAAUAAAUUGCAUCUGAACCUGAUGAUCAUGAUACCAUAUAUUUGUCCCAUUCAUUUCCCUCUCUCUUCAUAUUCAGGCUGUACAAUUGAUAUGCAGUCUAGCCUGGAGUCUGGAUUUUGUACAGGUAUACUGUCCAUCCUGGUUCUAGUGAUUUGAUUUGGGAAACUCUUGAAGUUUGAUUCAUAUAUUGGUCCUGAGAAUUCUUCACCUGGCAUUCUGCAAUUGCUUCCAGCCAGGGAUUUCUACAAUCUGGAGAAGUCCAUACAUUUGAGUAUGCAAGAUCAAGCACUUCUGAUCAGCUUUGCAGUCUUCUCAGGUUCCCUGCGCCUUGCUUACUCCCCGAUUCGUCCAGUAUUCAUAAUUCGCUGUUUGCAAGCUGUAGAUCAACCAGAAAGCCUUUGUGCAGCCCAGCGACAGCCAUGGUCUGGGUUGCCAGGAGCUCCGAUGUGGCCAGCCGCGGCCGGGGAGAAGUCGCCGUCGUGGCCAGCCUCAGCCGAUCCCUCGGCAGUAGGCUGCAGCUUGGUCGCAGCCUCGGAACUGGUGCCGCCGGACGGAGAGCCGCCGCAUCGUCGCGCCUCUCCUUCUCGACCUAGCACACCAGCGGCGGCGUGUCGGACACGUACAACAGGUUGCCCCUGCAGUGGCGCGGCAGGAAGCUGCGGCCGGUCAUCUUGGAGAAGCGAGACACCUUGGCGAGGUGGCCCGGCAUGGGCGCCGCAGCAGAAGGAGAGCAAAUGGUCAGCGCCAGCCACCCGCCGCCAAUGCGGCCCGGGGGCGGCCCGACGCCGCCCACUGCAGCCGCCGUGAGCGCCGCCACCAUUCGCGGCGCACGAGACGCAAAUUUCGUGCACACGCUCUACGGCGCGGAGAGCGGCUGACCCUGGCCGCGGUGCCAGGUGAAUCUUUUCCCCAAACAUUGCUCCUAUUCUCUCUGCUAGCUACCUGAUGUGAUUUUUGAACAUGAUGUGUGCAGGUCUGAGGAAGAAGAGAAGAAGUAUCAAGACACCAAGGAUCUGAAGGCAGCGAGAAUUAAUGAAAAGAAAACUACUGUUCCAGCUCAUUAGCUCUACAACUACUGAUUAAGCAUCUCCAGAUUCAAGAGGAUAGGUACUUAUAGCAAAUCUGCACUACCGUCUAAAGUCUACACUUCGAUACUUUCACUAAGGCAUUACCUGUUUUCUAUCUCUUUAGGAGAACUGAAGCUUUCAUCACCAGAAAUGUGUCCUCUCUUAUGUUUUUUUUUUAUACUUUGUGUAGGAAUCAAUCAAAAUAUUUUGUAGAGCACUUGUUAUGUCUUGACAAAAAGAACAUUCGCAUUUCAGUUUGGUUGACUAGCUUCUUUAGGAGGCUCUGAAGGGAAGGCAAUAGACCUUGAUGAUACUAAAUUUCAUCAUUACGCCAUCAAGUAUAUUACAACAGAACUUGAGCAUAUCCAUUGUCCACUCUGCUAUAAGUUGUGUGCUAGGCUAGAUCGUAUAUUUUUUGGGUGGUGUUCUGAACUUCUGUUGGAUAUGGUGGUUGACUGCAUCAUUGAGGCAGAGGUGAUUAAGUGGUCUCCUGAUAGUAUAAAGAUUUGUUAGUAACCUGAGGCAGAGUUUUGUUGUCAAAGAGUUUUGCAGAGUUACAAUCUAUAAGGGAUUCAACACAUGGUUUCAGUGAUCCAUGUUGUGUACAGUUUGAUGAGUAAUGUAAUUGUUGUGUAGUAGUACAAUCAGACUAUUAGAUAUUGCCAGCAUUUUCUUGCCAUUUGGCGGUUCAAAGAAUUGAUAUUAGGGUAGUAGGUGAUAAUAAGACUUUUCAAUAAUCUACAAGUUAAAUAUGUAUUUAAUAAAGGGUCAUUGGUGUAGAGGAUGGGGCUUCCCCAUUUUUUUUAAUAUGUGAUUAUGCAUAAGAAAAAUUCAUCGGUCUAUUUUUUUGUUGUAAUUCGGCUGAAUGAUUCUUCCAAGAAAGAUGA